AGUCAGAUCUGAAUUUCAACCCUGGGUCUGUUACUCUCUUUCUGUGUGAUGCUGGAUCCCUCACGCCAGCAGAGCCCAGCGACAUCAGAAAGGACCAGAGGGAGUCAGCCCAUCUUGCAUCCCCACUACCAGUGACUUACACGGCAUCUGCCUUCCUCCCCACUCUCUUCUCUGCGGUAUUUCGACAAAUAUGUGCUGUUUGGUCGCUUUUACAACACUUUCAUUGGGCUCAUCACCCUCAAUCCUCUGGUUUGACAACAUCAUGAAGAGUCAAUGGGAAAAAUCUGUAGAGGCCCUCCAACUACCGUGACCAAAAGCAUUUCUAUUGGUCCCUCUAAAUCUCAGAUCUGCCUAUUUUGGAACUCAUAAACUCUCACCCUUUGUGAUGGUCACAGGGCACCCAAUGAACUUGGCUCCUGCUUCUUUUGACCCACGACUGAUAAAGGAGAACUAUUCCAAUGUUGCAAAGGCCCUAAUUGUUUCUAUUAAAAAUAA